UACGUAUGGAGCAAGCGUUAUCCGGAUUUAUUGGGCGUAAAGCGAGCGCAGGUGGUUUAUUAAGUCUGGUGUAAAAGGCAGUGGCUCAACCAUUGUAUGCAUUGGAAACUGGUAGACUUGAGUGCAGGAGAGGAGAGUGGAAUUCCAUGUGUAGCGGUGAAAUGCGUAGAUAUAUGGAGGAACACCGGUGGCGAAAGCGGCUCUCUGGCCUGUAACUGACACUGAGGCUCGAAAGCGUGGGGAGCAAACAGG
rnacentral:rRNA from 1 species